rnacentral:lncRNA from 1 species
CCCGCCCUUCCACCCUCACCUCGCCUCCUCAGCCUGCGCCCCGCCCCGGCCCCUUGGUCCUCGCCCCGCCUUCCUCAUUUGGCGCCAAAUCCUGUGGUCAACGGCGCGCGGGUUUCCAGGCUCCGCGUUCUGGGCCCGAGUUAGAAUCCUGUCAGCUGAGGACUGGAAAGGUCGGGCGGGGGCAGAGGGGCUUCACCUUGAAAAUCUCGGGGAGACUGUGGGUACGAGGGGGAAGUGAUUAUUUUUCUUUUGCUCACCUUUCAACAUGAAGGAGGAUCAAGUUGUGGCGGAAGAACCAGGAUUCCAAGAUGAAGAGGUAUGACUAGAAUGUUGAAAGAUACAUAGAUAUUCGGUCAUUCCACAAAAAUCAAGUUCCUUCUCUGUUAGCUACUAUUUUUAGAAACUGAAAGUAGAAAUAACACAUAGUUAUAUAUUGCAAAUAUGCAACAACUUGUUUGGCAAGGAUGCUAAGAUUAGCUACUUAGCAACUGGUAUGAAAGUAUUUUAAUAACUUAACAGCUGGUAUGGCCAUACUGAUACCUGUAUACACUGGUACCGAAUAGCAGCCUGGUCCUAGAGGAAGGAGUUUAGGAUCUGGAGGGGAAGAGGGUUGAGAAAACAUAUUUAAAAUAGGUCAAAUGUUGUUCCAGUCCUUUGGGUAAAGGUUUCAAAAUUUUAGGGAGGACAUGACAAAGGUAACUGGUUUCCCAGCCCUUUCAAUGUUGGUGCUUCUAAGUAUGUGUUUGAAAAACAGUAUUGAUCUUUCCUCAAUCUCUAGAGAAGUGGAAUUUGAGGCAUUUUGGAGUGACUCAUAGUAUUGAAUUACCUCUUUAAAAGAUGUGAAAUAGCUGGAUAUGAAGAAUCAAAGCUUCAUUUUUUUCUGUUUCAUCUCCUUUAGGAAUCUUUGUUUCAAGAUAUUGACCUGUUACAAAAACAUGGAAUUGUAAGUAGUUUUUCAAUGCUGUGUUAAAUUAUCUGAUUCAGGAUUUCUCAGCAUCAACCUUACGGACAUUUGGGCCUGGAUAAUUCUUUGUUGCAAGGGGCCGUCCUGUACAUUGUAGGGUGUUUGCAACAUCCUUGGCCUCUACUUACUCACUGCAUGCCAGUAGCACCCCUGCAGCUGUGACAAUCAAAAUGUCUCCAGACAUUAUCAAGUGUACCCAGAGGACAAAAUUAAGUUCUAU